CCGCCCCCCACUCCAGCCCGCCUCUCCCGGGCGGGGGGUGCGGCGCGAGCCCGGAGCGCGCGCGCGUGCCGCGACCGGAGGAUGGAUGGAUGGGGCGAGCGAGAACGCGAGCGUGCGCGCGCGCGCCCCUCUCCCCCUCCCUCCGCGCGGGCGCGAGGCCAAGCGCGAGCGCGCUCCAACCUCCUCCUCUUCCUCCUCCCGCCCCUCUUCAACACCCCGCCCCCGCCCUCCCUUCCUCUUCCUUCUUUCGCUUUCGCGCGCCCAGCGACUGCUCGCGCCUGCUAGAAGGGCCCGAGCGCGUGCAUCUGCCCCGCGGCCGCAGCUCGGCAGCAUUUGCUCCAGGGGGCGGGGACCGGGCGGGGAGGAGGGGCGCCACGCCGCCGUCCAAAGUACCGGCGGACGGGGACGGGGGCGGGGAGAUGGGCGGGGCCUUCUGGGGCCACCUCGGCCAAUCGCCGUCUCGCCUCGGUCCGGUCGGCCCAAUAGGAUGGCGGUGGGUGGAGCGACGUUCAAGGAGAGAGAGAGAGCACAAGCAGGGGAGAGACAGACAGCAAGGGAGACAGAGGAUCCAAAGUGGGCUCUGUGCUGACAGCAGAGAGCCUGGUGCGGGGCUCGAACCCACAAACUGCGAGAUCAUGACCUGAGCUGAAGCCAGGAAUCGGAUGCUUAACCAACUACGCCACCCAGGUGCUGUGGGAUGAGCUGGUGGAGACUCUGAAGGUCGUUGAACUUGCAAAAGAAUGAGGCCAAGUCUUCAGGAAGCUCCCAAGUGUGAAUCAGGAAUUCUCCACACCAGUGAUGCUGAUCGGCUUCCUAGUCUCUAAAUAUGCCCAAGGAACUUACACAUGCCCAAGAAGCCUUCCUGUCUCCUCUCUGUUUACCUAAAUACUUCCUCACUUUCCCACCCAUGGCCAUCCUCACACCAACUCCUUUACAACUGGAUGGUUCUGUUCAUCCAGGCCCUGGCCUGGGCUGCUCUGUGGCGGUGACCUCUUUGGGAACAUGCCUGGUCUCCCCAGGUAGCAUCAAGCAGUCCGCAAAUACUGAGGACUGUGCUGGUCUGGGCUGUGGGUGAGGCCGUGGCGUUAGGGCAGCGAGCCAGAGAAACCCACAGACUUUGUCCUAGUAGAGUCUACACCCCAGCAAAGCCUGAUGUGGGUGAAACAAGACUGUGAAGGCAUCGGGCUGCUGAAGAAACAAAUGGCAUGGGCACUUGGGUGGCUCAGUUGGUUAAGCAUCUGACUCUGGCUCAGGUCAUGAUCUCACAAUUCAUGAGUUGGAGCCCCGCAUUGGGUUCUCCGCUCUCAGCAAGGAGCCCGCUGUAGAUCCUCUGUCUCCUCUCUCUGCCCCCUUCCCUGCUUGCUCUCUCUCUCAGAAAUAAAUAAACAUUAAAAAAAAAAAAAAAAAAAAGGAACUGGGGGCACCUGGGUGGCUCAGUUGGUUAAGCAGUGAAGCGUCCAACUUCGGCUCACGUCGUGAUCUCAUGGUUCAUGGGUUCAAGCCUCGCCUCGGGCUCUGUGCUGACAGCCCAGAGCCUGGAGCCUGCUUCCGAUUCUGUGUCUCCCUCACUCUCUGCCCCUCCCCCACUCAUGCUCUGUCU